UACGGAGGAUGCGAGCGUUAUCCGGAUUUAUUGGGUUUAAAGGGUGCGUAGGCGGUCCGUUAAGUCAGCGGUAAAAUUGCGGGGCUCAACCCCGUCGAGCCGUUGAAACUGGCAGACUUGAGUUGGCGAGAAGUACGCGGAAUGCGCGGUGUAGCGGUGAAAUGCAUAGAUAUCGCGCAGAACUCCGAUUGCGAAGGCAGCGUACCGGCGCCAGACUGACGCUGAGGCACGAAAGCGUGGGGAUCGAAUAGG
rnacentral:rRNA from 1 species